AAGCACGGCUCCGUGAUCCCUAGCUCGAAUCGAGGCUCGCGCGAAUGAGCGCGUUCCUCGAGAACCAAAUUAGGUACGAAUUGAUAACCUCAUUUAUUCAAUAACGAUCACAAACUCGUAAUAAUCGUUCUGUCCAAUCCCAAUCUGACCAAACGGAUUUCAUUAUAAUACCAGCUUUUUCUACCCGAGGCUGUUUCUUCAUUUACAAACAUUUCCUAGAAGACGCCUUAUCAAUUUUGUGCGAGUGUGGGAAAGAUUAUCGAAAAGUAGAUGCACAUUUUCCUCAGACCUGUCAACAAUGUUCUCAGAAACAGAAAAGUUACACGGCACUUUUCAACGAAAGAAGAACAAUAUGUAGGUUUUUCUUGUAUGUUGACCGUUUUCGAUGACGACUACAACCAAUGAGCGUAUGGUUAUAAUGCAGACGUGGAAAAUCGAAACUUGGAAAUUUUCAUCUUUCUGCAACCAUUUGAUGAAUUUCAACUAUUCUCAAUCGAUCAUAAUUUUCUGUUUUCUUAUUCUCAAUCGAUCAGUUUUUCUGUUAAUUAUUUACAAUGUUUACAUCUUUGACCAUUAAUUUUCUUUGUUUGUCCAUUAGGUUCGAGGCUGAAGUCGAAGAAAUUGUAUCUUCGAAUGUUUGCUUCUGGUCUUCCGGAACAUAAAUAAAGACACUUGGCUCUAUACAUAAUUUAUUGAGAGAGAAAAUGUAAUGCUUUUAUUAUUCCUUCCAUCACUCGAGUCGUUUACUCUCGAAUAAUAUGUCAGGACUCUUGAAUAUUGAAAAUUGCAUUCGAUAAGAAAAAUAGAUUGCAACAUGAAGAAUGAUACAAAACAAAAUGCAGGAAAUCCAUUUGAUUUGAAAAUGAUUGCAGUAAGAAACGUGGUAUAAAAUACCAGCCAUGGGCUUUAUCCGUGGAAAAUUAUUGGUGAAAACUUUUCAUACCCCAUAGAACAGUCGAAGGGAAUGAAAGCAAAAGAGUUUCUAAUUUCAAAAUGUAAGGAGUCAAAAGACAAAUAAGCUAGCAAAGGUGAUGGAAAUUUUUAAAAACCCAUCCAAAAACUGAGCCGCUCGAAGGGUAUUUCCAUUUUCUACUUAUUUUAAAAUAAGUAUGUUGUCCCACAAGUCGCUUAAGAUUUUGGGGAAGGAAGUGGGACGGUGUGACGAGGAUUGAAAUUGUUAUUUUGGACAAUCUGUUAUAUACAAAUAAUGGCAUAUUAUCUUGUUAUUAAUUUAUGUUAUCAGGUAUUGGAAAUAAUUUGGAACAGUGAGACGGAACGUUACCAGCAAGGUCAUGCAAAUGAGGACAAUUCAUCAGUCGCAUCUGCAUGGAAACAUAAUCUAACAUUUUUAUGCUGGAAUUCAAAUGUCGAGAAACUUUUAAUUAUUAAUAAAACACAACAUAACCUAAAAGUUUAGUCUCUUAUUCAAUAAUGUGAUGGAAAACGCAGUGUCAAAAAGAAAUUGAAUUUCGCAUUUUGGUAAACACAAAAGUGAAGGUGAACUUGCGCAUCAAAUGCGUAUACUCGUUUGAACACGACGCGUGAGAUGUAUAUAAAAUUUACUCGGGAAAGUAUUUAUUACCAAUACAAGAUCAUGAGUACUCAGGAAAUUUAUUUAUUUAUACCUAAAGAGCUUCGGGCGAAUUUUCAUGUCGGAGAACGAAAUCAUGAUAACUCUAUAACGACAAUUGACGAACUGUGUAUACGCCGAGAGUACGGAAUCCGAGCGGAGGAUAAAAACGGAAUACGGAAUAGUAAUACCGGUGACACUGACGCAAUAUCGGGCGAACGUUCGAAUCAAUCAAUAACGAGUAACAAUAAAAACGAGGAAAAAAUGCCACCUGGAAUAUCGUGGUAAAUCGCAGCACGAUAAAAUUAUGCAAAAGACUCAACCUCUUCAUUUAUUCUCGAUGAAAAUAAAAUUCCACCAUGACCGAAGAUUUACUUUGGAAUGAAUGCGCAAUACGAAUAAAUAAUAUUGAAACGUGUGUGCGUGUACGUGUCUCGUGUGUUUAUAAAUAAAACGAAAGAUGGAAUCGACUGACGAAUAUAUUGAGCUUUCAUAGGCUCAAAACGAAUAGCCCAACCGUUUGCAUUUCUUGUUUUAGUUUUUGUAUAAAUAUAUUUUAUAGUGUAUACCCGAGAAAUAAAUUGUAUUUCGGGAGUGGA